GGCCCGACACCUAACGGAUCAUAAAUAUAUGGAUCAUGAUCUAACAAAUAAGAUAUUUUUAAUAAUAAAUAUAUGGAUCAUGUUCUAAUGGAUCAAGAACUUUGCAUCUCACGCUUGCAUAUAAUGUCUGAUUGUAAAUUAGUUGUUGGCUCUGUUAGAAAUAUGGUCUCGUAUUGGAUUUGGAUUGAAAACACGUAGACGAUAAAGAGUGAGAUGCAAACAGACGAGAGUAAAAUGCGGUAGAAGGGCUGGCAAAGGAAAAAGGGAAGUAGAUGUUUUUUCUCCUUUUAAUAUUAAGACAUAUAGAUAAAUAUGUAUAGAUAUUGUUUAUAGAUAUGUUUAGGAAAAAAACCAAUUUGUGCCCAGCAACGCGUGUCCGCUGCUCACAUCAUCGGCACCAUAGUUUAGUUAUUCCAUUCUAGGUUCAAUUUGUGUGCUCCGGCAAGUAGCAACUAGCAAGGGAACGAUAUCUCCUCCCCACCUGUUUGUCUGUUUGUAAAAUGUUUUCGUGUUUUCUAUUCGAAUUUAUAAAAUAAGUUUGACAUGAAUACUUUUAAUAUUUAUCUUAACUUAAAAUUGAAUAUAGAGAGGAACUGAGAGGAUUAGGUUAAAAGGAGUUGCAAUCUAGUAUGAGUAGUUAAGAAUACAAUAUUCUUUAAUUGGUAGAAAAUAAGAAAAGGAAAUAGAAAUUGGUGAAAUAAGGGUAAAAUACUAUUUUAGAGAAGUUGCUCACUUAUAAGUACAAGUAUCAUCACCCUCAUUACCGUGCGCUUAUACAUUCUUUUGCUUGAUUCCAAGAAUCACUACACCAAAAUAGUGAACUUCCUAGAGCCUAAACCCUAGAAAGUUGGCCCUAAACUCUAGGAAGUUAGCUAAACCCUCGGAAGUAAAGCCAUCUCGUCGGAAGUUUGGCGCUCGAAUCUUUUUUGUCAAAAGUUAGCUUAACUUCCUAGAGCCCUCUAGUAAAUUAGCUAACUUCCUACAGUUAGAGGAGCCUCUCGGAAGUUAGUAGCUUCACGCCGUCAAUGCUGCCGUCAGCUGACUAACUUCCUAUGGAUAACUUCGUACGGCUCACUGUAGCCCCUAGAAAGUUAGCUGGCUAACUUCCUAUGGCCCAGCUGGCCUCUAGAAAGUUAAUUUGACCAGCAUUAGACUCUCUGGUUCCUACUUCUCACUGAUUUAAAACUAAACAGACUUGAGUGCUCCCAGACCCAUUAGACUCCCUGGUUCCCACUGAAUCAGCACCGAAUCAAAAAUCGGCAAUUGGACCAACAUCACGCUGAGGCCACUAAAACUGAUUCCUGCGAAAUUCCUGUACCAUUCCUGUGAAACGUUCUUCAGGUACCGGUGGCAACUAGUGGAUUAUAUGUAAAUUCUAGAGAGACGCAGAGAAAUCUAAUCCAACGAUGGCUGACUGACGCACCACAUCGAUCUGCAAUGAAAGCCAGCUCUUCUGGAGGAUGGAUCAUGGGAUCAAACACAAGUCAACAUUCAGACCAGACAGAAUGUGGGUGCGUUUUCAAUUUAUUUGGGUUGGCAACAAAUUGUAUGCGGACUUGUGGCCGUCUACAUAUAAUACACGUAGUAGAUUACUGGUGUAGUUCAUGACAAUUCUACGGAUGUGAUGGUACUCGCUUGGUCCCAUCUCGCGUGCAUUAAUAAACGC